UACGUAGGGGGCAAGCGUUGUCCGGAUUCAUUGGGCGUAAAGAGCUCGUAGGCGGCUUAGCAAGUCGGGUGUGAAAACUCCAGGCUCAACCUGGAGACGCCACCCGAUACUGCUAUGGCUAGAGUCCGGUAGGGGACCACGGAAUUCCUGGUGUAGCGGUGAAAUGCGUAGAUAUGUGGAGGAAUACCGAUGGCGAAGGCAGCCCCCUGGGAUAACGACUGACGCUCAUGCACGAAAGCGUGGGGAGCAAACAGG
rnacentral:rRNA from 1 species